rnacentral:misc_RNA from 1 species
AACUUUCAACAAUGGAUCACUUGGCUCUCGCAUCGAUGAAGAACGCAGCGAAAUGCGAUAAGUAAUGUGAAUUGCAGAAUUCAGUGAAUCAUCGAUCUUUGAACGCACCUUGCGCCCUUUGGCUAUUCUGAAGGGCAUGCCUGUUUGAGUAUCAUGAACACCUCAACUCUUGUGGCCUGCCACGAUGAGCUUGGACUUCGGGGGUCUUGCCGGCGUACCGUCGGCUCCUCUCGAAUGAAUCAGCUUGCCAGUGUUCGGUGGCAUCACGGGUGUGAUAAAUAUCUACGCUUGUGGUUUUCUGCCGGGCAACCUCCAGCAAUGGAGGUUCGCUGGAGCUCACAAAUGUCUCUCCUCGGUGAGGACAGCUUUUCGAACGUUUGAUCUCAAAUCAGGUAGGACUACCCGCUGAACUUAAGCAUAUCAAUAAGCGGAGGCU